rnacentral:rRNA from 1 species
GAUGAACGCUGGCGGCGUGCCUAAUACAUGCAAGUCGAGCGAACGGACGAGAAGCUUGCUUCUCUGAUGUUAGCGGCGGACGGGUGAGUAACACGUGGAUAACCUACCUAUAAGACUGGGAUAACUUCGGGAAACCGGAGCUAAUACCGGAUAAUAUUUUGAACCGCAUGGUUCAAAAGUGAAAGACGGUCUUACUGUCACUUAUAGAUGGAUCCGCGCUGCAUUAGCUAGUUGGUAAGGUAACGGCUUACCAAGGCAACGAUGCAUAGCCGACCUGAGAGGGUGAUCGGCCACACUGGAACUGAGACACGGUCCAGACUCCUACGGGAGGCAGCAGUAGGGAAUCUUCCGCAAUGGGCGAAAGCCUGACGGAGCAACGCCGCGUGAGUGAUGAAGGUCUUCGGAUCGUAAAACUCUGUUAUUAGGGAAGAACAUAUGUGUAAGUAACUGUGCACAUCUUGACGGUACCUAAUCAGAAAGCCAUGGCUAACUACGUGCCAGCAGCCGCGGUAAUACGUAGGUGGCAAGCGUUAUCCGGAAUUAUUGGGCGUAAAGCGCGCGUAGGCGGUUUUUUAAGUCUGAUGUGAAAGCCCACGGCUCAACCGUGGAGGGUCAUUGGAAACUGGAAAACUUGAGUGCAGAAGAGGAAAGUGGAAUUCCAUGUGUAGCGGUGAAAUGCGCAGAGAUAUGGAGGAACACCAGUGGCGAAGGCGACUUUCUGGUCUGUAACUGACGCUGAUGUGCGAAAGCGUGGGGAUCCAACAGGAUUAGAUACCCUGGUAGUCCACGCCGUAAACGAUGAGUGCUAAGUGUUAGGGGGUUUCCGCCCCUUAGUGCUGCAGCUAACGCAUUAAGCACUCCGCCUGGGGAGUACGACCGCAAGGUUGAAACUCAAAGGAAUUGACGGGGACCCGCACAAGCGGUGGAGCAUGUGGUUUAAUUCGAAGCAACGCGAAGAACCUUACCAAAUCUUGACAUCCUUUGACAACUCUAGAGAUAGAGCUUUCCCCUUCGGGGGACAAAGUGACAGGUGGUGCAUGGUUGUCGUCAGCUCGUGUCGUGAGAUGUUGGGUUAAGUCCCGCAACGAGCGCAACCCUUAAGCUUAGUUGCCAUCAUUAAGUUGGGCACUCUAAGUUGACUGCCGGUGACAAACCGGAGGAAGGUGGGGAUGACGUCAAAUCAUCAUGCCCCUUAUGAUUUGGGCUACACACGUGCUACAAUGGACAAUACAAAGGGCAGCGAAACCGUGAGGUCAAGCAAAUCCCAUAAAGUUGUUCUCAGUUCGGAUUGUAGUCUGCAACUCGACUACAUGAAGCUGGAAUCGCUAGUAAUCGUAGAUCAGCAUGCUACGGUGAAUACGUUCCCGGGUCU